rnacentral:rRNA from 1 species
CCUACGGGGGGCAGCAGUGGGGAAUAUUGGACAAUGGGGGGAACCCUGAUCCAGCCAUGCCGCGUGUGUGAAGAAGGCCCUCGGGUUGUAAAGCACUUUCAGUGAGGAAGAACGCCUGGUGGUUAAUACCCAUCAGGAAAGACAUCACUCACAGAAGAAGCACCGGCUAACUCCGUGCCAGCAGCCGCGGUAAUACGGAGGGUGCGAGCGUUAAUCGGAAUUACUGGGCGUAAAGCGCGCGUAGGUGGCUUGAUAAGCCGGUUGUGAAAGCCCCGGGCUCAACCUGGGAACGGCAUCCGGAACUGUCAAGCUAGAGUGCAGGAGAGGAAGGUAGAAUUCCCGGUGUAACGGUGAAAUGCGUAGAGAUCGGGAGGAAUACCAGUGGCGAAGGCGGCCUUCUGGACUGACACUGACACUGAGGUGCGAAAGCGUGGGUAGCAAACAGGAUUAGAUACCCGUGUAGUC